rnacentral:lncRNA from 1 species
AUAAUUUUUUUUCUGAAUUUGUGUUUAAGUAAUUUGAAAACUUAGUCUUCCAAAUUAUUUCUUUAAUCAAGUUUCUUUUUAAAAAAACUCUAAUUUUUAUAGGAAAAUUAAAAAAAAUCUGUUAAAAGCUUCAGCACUCUAUUUACUAACACCCUGUAAAUAUCACGACUUACAAUUUUGACAUCCCUACCAACAACCUUUUAAAGUAGAAAAUAUUAUUUUUAAACUUUUGUUUCAUUAUAGAAAAUAGCAGCCAAAUUACAUAAUAAUUUGCUUAAUUACAAGCAAAUGGCACUCUGAGAACUUUAUCCUCUCUUCCACAAUAAAUUGAUCUCAAGGAAAUUUGAAAUAAUUUUCUAAGGUAAUGCUUACUGUGUUACUUAGGCAAGAAAUUACCUUGUAAAUCAGUCUGAAAUUAUGAUAUACUAUUAUAAGAGAACUUUAUAUACAAAUAAAUCUACUGUGCCCAUUGUUUUUAUCCUGUCUCUGCUCAACAAAACCUGCCAUUUUGACACAACCAGGAAAUCACUUUAGCUCUGAUAGUUCAUAUUUAAAUAUGCUCUUCACAUCUACGAAGGGAAAAAUGCUCAGAUUUCAAAUAUUUUUAAUGGAAUACUUCAUAAGCAAAGCACACACUCCCUGAGGGAUUAUGCCACUAUUUCCUUUUAAUUAAAUUGAUUAAAUUUAAGUGAAUGGUGGUCUAACCUCAAAAGGAAAAUGUAUUUAAUUUAUGAAAAAUUGCCAUUUUUUCUGCUCCAUUGCAUGUACAACACAUAAUGUCUUCAGUAUGAGAUUCCAGCUUUUCUAACAAGUUAUUUGUUAUAUAAGCUUUAAGGUGAUCUUGAACAUUUGAAAAACUUUAUGUCUCAAUGUAUUACCUUAAAAAUACCAAUCUCUUUCUCCUACUGUCUGGUUACAUCUACAGAUAGCAGCUGAGCUAGUGAGCAUGUUAAGAUACCUUUCAAAAAUGCUACAAUUUUGUACAGUUGCUGUGCAUGCAUUUAACCAAGGGAAAAACUGUUGUCAGACUUCCUCUGCUACUCUCAGGACCAAGAAAAAUUGCUGAGGAAGAACUAUGGCAUCCCUCAAGGGAUUUAAUGAAAAUAAACAAGGUUUAUACCAAAUUGUGGGCUGAAGAGGUAGAAGGGGAAAACAGAAUCACAGAAUCAUUGAAACUGAAGGGAUCUCUUGAGACCAGCUGGUACAACCCCAUGCUCAGGCAGAGCCAGCCAAAGCACGUUAUCCAGGACUUCAUGUUUUGAAGAUCCACACAGACAGAGACUCCACAGACUCUCUGAGCUACCUGUUCCAGUGUUUGAUCAGCAUUACAAGUAAAAAGUUAUUUCCUUCAUUUCACAUGAAAUUUUAUGUUUCUGUCUGAAACCAUUGUAAUUUGUUCCUGCCAUCAGAUAUUGCUGAGAAGAGGAGGAUCUUCAUUUACUUCUUCAGGCUGGAAUCCCAUCUCUCUCUCAAUUUCUCAUCAUAUGGAAGAUAUUCAAUCCUUAAUAACCCUAAUAACCAAGUUUUCUUUCUGUGCUUUUCAUGUGUGCCACAGAGGACACACACAAUUUUCAGAACUGUCUAUGAAUGUGUAAUUUAAGCUAUUUCUGUUGAUUUGGAAUGACCCUAGGCUGUCAUGAAUUCUGCUUUUCCUGGAAGAGAAACAAUUUUUAUGUUAAUGCAUUUCCUUGAGUCAAGCUGAUUCCAAAGAUAACUGAUAUUUAAAAGGAAAGUAAAAAGGACCAUGAAAAAAAGGUUAUUGAACAACACAUGUAAAAGUGACACAAAUCUGGAAUUUAAUGUCUUCUUUCCCAUAUCAAUGCAUAACUAUUCAAGUAACUAUCUUGAUUUGUAGCAAACAUUUCAAGAUGUAGACUUGUAGAUCUGAGUCCAACAGUUAUUUAUGUUUGUGAAUGACAAUCCACAUUUUGAAACAAAAUUUAAAACUUCCUUGAAAUAGAUCUAGAGUUGUAAGUUUUUAAUAUCAAGCACUUGCACUGACAGCUAGAAGAAUAAACUUUGCUAAGCUAGAUGCA